GACGAACGCUGGCGGCGUGCUUAACACAUGCAAGUCGAACGGAAAGGCCCCUUUUGGGGUACUCGAGUGGCGAACGGGUGAGUAACACGUGCGUAACCUCCCCUUAACUUCCGGAUAACUUCAGGAAACUGGGGCUAAUACCGGAUAGGAAUCCUUUCUGCAUGGUGGGGGUUGGAAAGCUUCGGCGGUUUUGGGUGGACUCGCGGCUGAUCAGCUUGUUGGUGGGGUAGUGGCUUACCAAGGCUUUGACGGGUAGCCGGACUGGGAGGGCGACCGGCCACAGUGGGACUGGGAUUGGGACCCGACCCCGACGGGAGGGAGAGGUGGGGAAGAGUGAACAAGGGGCGGAAGCCAGAUGCAGAAACGGCGCGGGCGGGAGGACGGUGUUCGGGUUGGAAUCCGAAUUCAGCAGGGGCGAAGCUUGUGGUGACGGUACCUGGAGAAGAAGCACCGGCUAACUACGUG
rnacentral:rRNA from 1 species